rnacentral:tRNA from 1 species
GCGCGUAUAGCUCAGUUGGCUAGAGCGCUCGACUGAUACUCGUGAGGUCCCAGGUUCGAAUCCUGGUACGCGCA